GGGGAUUUAGCUCAGUGGUAGAGCGCUUACCUAGGAAGCGCAAGGCCCUGGGUUCGGUCCCCAGCUCCGAAAAAAAGAACCAAAAAAAAAAAAAAAAAAAAAAAAAAAGAGGUCCCUGGUUCAAAUCCAGGUGCCCCCU
rnacentral:tRNA from 1 species